rnacentral:rRNA from 1 species
UACAGAGGUCUCAACCGUUGUUCGGAUUCAUUGGGCGUAAAGGGUGCGUAGGCGGUCGUGCAAGUCGAUGUGAAAUCUCAGGGCUCAACCCUGAAACUGCAUUCGAUACUGCGCGGCUAGAGUGCUGGAGGGGAGACUGGAAUUUACGGUGUAGCAGUGAAAUGCGUAGAUAUCGUAAGGAAGACCAGUGGCGAAGGCGGCAUCCUGGACUGGUCCUGACACUCGAGGAAGCGAAGGCGUGG